UACGUAGGGUGCAAGCGUUGUCCGGAAUUAUUGGGCGUAAAGAGCUCGUAGGCGGUCUGUCACGUCGGCUGUGAAAACCCGGGGCUCAACCCCGGGCCUGCAGUCGAUACGGGCAGACUAGAGUGCGGUAGGGGAGACUGGAAUUCCUGGUGUAGCGGUGAAAUGCGCAGAUAUCAGGAGGAACACCGGUGGCGAAGGCGGGUCUCUGGGCCGAUAUUGACGCUGAGGAGCGAAAGCGUGGGGAGCAAACAGG
rnacentral:rRNA from 1 species